rnacentral:rRNA from 1 species
UACGGAGGGUGCAAGCGUUAUCCGGAUUCACUGGGUUUAAAGGGUGCGUAGGUGGGCUAGUAAGUCCGUGGUGAAAUCUCUGAGCUUAACUCGGAAACUGCCGUGGAUACUAUUAGUCUUGAAUCUCGUGGAGGUAAGCGGAAUAUGUCAUGUAGCGGUGAAAUGCUUAGAUAUGACAUAGAACACCGAUAGCGAAGGCAGCUUGCUACACGAGUAUUGACACUGAGGCACGAAAGCGUGGGGAGCGAUCAGG